AUUGAACGCUGGCGGCAGACCUAACACAUGCCCGUCGAGCGGAUCGGAGUACGGGUGAGUAAUGCCUAGGAAUGUGCCUGGUAGUGGGAGAUAACGUCCGGAAACGGGCGCUAAUACCGCAUACUAUCAGAUUAGCCUAGGUCGGAUUAGCUCGUUGGUGGGGUACAGGCCUACCAAGGCGACGAUCCGUAACUGGUCUGAUAGUCUGAUCAGUCACCCUGUAACUGAGACACGGUCCAGACUCCUACGUGAGGCAGCAGUGGGGAAUAUUGGACAAUGGGCGAAAGCCUGAUCCAGCCAUGCCGGGUGUGUGAAGAAGGUCUUCGGAUUGUAAAGCACUUUAAGUUGGGAGGCGUUACCAACAGAAUAAGAACCGGCUAACUUCGUGCCAGCAGCCGCGGUAAUUC
rnacentral:rRNA from 1 species